rnacentral:rRNA from 1 species
AACGGGUGAGUAACACGUGGGUGACUGCUUCGAGCGGGGGAUAACGUCCCGAAAGGGACGCGAAGUACCGCAUAACAUCCCGCCUUUUAAGAGGUGGAGAUCAAAGCCGGGGAUCGCAAGACCUGGCACUUGAAGAGGGGCCCGCGCCUGAUUAGCUAGUUGGUGGGGUAAUGGCUCACCAAGGCAACGAUCAGUAUCCGGCCUGAGAGGGCGGACGGACACACUGGGACUGAGACACGGCCCAGACUCCUACGGGAGGCAGCAGUGGGGAAUUGUUCGCAAUGGGCGCAAGCCUGACGACGCAACGCCGCGUGGAGGAUGAAGACCUUCGGGUCGUAAACUCCUUUCGAUCGAGACGAAUGGUCUCCGGGUGAACAAUCCGGGGAAGUGACGGUACCGAGAGAAGAAGCCCGGUAACUCCGUGCCAGCCGACGCGG